rnacentral:rRNA from 1 species
CCUACGGGCGGCAGCAGUCGAGAAUCAUUCACAAUGGGGGAAACCCUGAUGGUGCGACGCCGCGUGGGGGAAUGAAGGUCUUCGGAUUGUAAACCCCUGUCAUGUGGGAGCAAAUUAAAAAGAUAGUACCACAAGAGGAAGAGACGGCUAACUCUGUGCCAGCAGCCGCGGUAAUACAGAGGUCUCAAGCGUUGUUCGGAAUCACUGGGCGUAAAGCGUGCGUAGGCUGUUUCGUAAGUCGUGUGUGAAAGGCGCGGGCUCAACCCGCGGACGGCACAUGAUACUGCGAGACUAGAGUAAUGGAGGGGGAACCGGAAUUCUCGGUGUAGCAGUGAAAUGCGUAGAUAUCGAGAGGAACACUCGUGGCGAAGGCGGGUUCCUAGACAUUAACUGACGCUGAGGCACGAAGGCCAGGGGAGCGAAAGGGAUUAGAUACCCCUGUAGUC